UAGCGGCGAACGGGUGAGUAACACGUAAGGAAUCUACCUAUAAGCGGGGGAUAACAUUCGGAAACGGGUGCUAAUACCGCAUAAUAUCUUCUUCCGCAUGGAAGAAGAUUGAAAGACGGCUCUGCUGUCACUUAUAGAUGACCUUGCGGUGCAUUAGUUAGUUGGUGGGGUAACGGCCUACCAAGACGAUGAUGCAUAGCCGACCUGAGAGGGUGAUCGGCCACAUUGGGACUGAGACACGGCCCAA
rnacentral:rRNA from 1 species